rnacentral:rRNA from 1 species
UACGUAGGGGGCGAGCGUUGCCCGGAAUCAUUGGGCGUAAAGGGCGCGCAGGCGGCCUGACUAGUCGUGGGUGAAAUCGUUCGGCUCAACCGAGCGGGGUCCUGCGAAACGGUCGGGCUGGAGCAAGGCAGGGGGUCGUGGAAUUCCCGGUGUAGUGGUGGAAUGCGUAGAGAUUGGGAGGAACACCAGUGGCGAAGGCGGCGACCUGGGCCUGUGCUGACGCUGAGGCGCGAAAGCGUGGGGAGCGAUCCGG